AGGUGCUGCAUGGCUGUCGUCAGCUCGUGCCGUGAGGGUGUUGGGUUAAGUCCCGCAACGAGCGCAACCCUCGUGCUAUGUUUGAUUUCUCAUAGCAGACUGCCUUGUACAGCAAGGAGGAAGGUGGGGAUGACGUCAAGUCAGCAUGGCCUUUAUGCCCUGGGCUACACACACGCUACAAUGGGUGGGAACAGAGGGUUGCCACGAAGCAAUUCGGAGCGAAUCCCUUAAAACCCAAUCCUCAGUUCGGAUUGCAGGCUGCAAUCGCCUGCAUGAAGCCGGAGCUGCUAGUAACCGCAGGUCAGCUAUACUGCGGUGAAUACGUUCUCGGGCCUU
rnacentral:rRNA from 1 species